UGCCAAACUCUAGCCCAAUCGACAUGACCUGGAAUAACAAAGCUACUACAUACACCCAACUAAAGCAUUCACUAGUCCUAGUAUAGGCGAUAGAAAAGACACCAUUGGAGCGAUAGAGACCACGUACCGUAAGGGAAAGAUGAAAUAACAAUGAAAACUAAGCUAUAAACAGCAAAGAUCAACCCUUGUACCUUUUGCAUCAUGGUCUAGCAAGAAAAACCAAGCAAAAUGAAUUUAAGUUUGCCAUCCCGAAACCCAAGCGAGCUACCUACGAGCAGCUGUCAGAGCGAACCCGUCUCUGUGGCAAAAGAGUGGGAUGACUUGUCGGUAGAGGUGAAAAGCCAAUCGAGCUGGGUGAUAGCUGGUUGCCUGUGAAACGAAUCUAAGUUCACUCUUAAUUCUUCUCCAAGGAAACUCAAGAACCCUAAUGAAGCGAAUUAAGGGCUAUUUAAAGGAGGUACAGCUCCUUUAAAAAAGAAUACAAUCUCUACGAGCGGAUAAAUAAUAACAUACGAACUUACUGUGGGCCCUUAAGCAGCCAUCAACAAAGAGUGCGUUAAAGCUCCGUACCCAAAAAAUAUAAGAAUUUUAUGACUCCCUCCCCACUAACAGGCUAACCUAUAUACAAAUAGGAGAAUUAAUGCUAGAAUGAGUAACCAGGGUCCUCCCUCUACGACGCAAGCUUACAUCUAUACAUUAUUAACAAACCACCAAUAUACGAUAAAUCAAACAAGCAGAGUAUUAGGUAUCUUGUUAACCCGACAGAGGAGCGUCCAUUAAGAAAGAUUAAAACCUGUAAAAGGAACUAGGCAAACCCGUCAAGGCCCGACUGUUUACCAAAAACAUAGCCUUCAGCAAACCAACAGACAAGUAUUGAAGGUGAUGCCUGCCCGGUGACUCACGUUUAACGGCCGCGGUAUCCUAACCGUGCAAAGGUAGCGCAAUCAAUUGUCCCAUAAAUCGAGACUUGUAUGAAUGGCUAAACGAGGUCUUAACUGUCUCUUACAGGCAAUCGGUGAAAUUGAUCUCCCUGUACAAAAGCAGGGAUAAACCCAUAAGACGAGAAGACCCUGUGGAACUUCAAAACCAACGACCACCUUAUAUCACAUAUACACCCACUGGGCUCACUGACACAUAAGAGAUUGGUACGUGUUUUUCGGUUGGGGCGACCUUGGAGUAAAACAAAGCCUCCAAAAAUUAGACCAUAAAUCUAGACUAAGAGCAACCCCUCAACGUGCUAACAGCACCCAGACCCAAUAUAAUUGAUCAAUGGACCAAGCUACCCCAGGGAUAACAGCGCAAUCUCCUCCGAGAGUCCGUAUCGACGGGGAGGUUUACGACCUCGAUGUUGGAUCAGGACAUCCUAGUGGUGCAGCCGCUACUAAGGGUUCGUUUGUUCAACGAUUAACAGUCCUACGUGAUCUGAGUUCAGACCGGAGUAAUCCAGGUCGGUUUCCAUCUAUGAUGAACUCUUCCCAGUACGAAAGGAUAGGAAAAGUGAGGCCAAUACUACAAGCAAGCCUUCGCCUUAAGUAAUGAAGUCAACUAAAUUACGAAAAGCUAUCACACCCCCCCACAUCCAAGAAAAGGACCA
rnacentral:rRNA from 1 species